CAGCAGCCACGGUAAUACGAAGGGUGCAAGCGUUACUCGGAAUUACUGGGCGUAAAGCGUGCGUAGGUGGUUGUUUAAGUCUGCUGUGAAAGCCCUGGGCUCAACCUGGGAAUUGCAGUGGAUACUGGGCGACUAGAGUAAGGUAGAGGAUAGUGGAAUUUCCGGUGUAGCAGUGAAAUGCGUAGAGAUCGGAAGGAACAUCUGUGGCGAAGGCGACUAUCUGGGCCAUUACUGACACUGAGGCACGAAAGCGUGGGGAGCAAACAGGAUUAGAGACCCGCGUAGUCCCUGUCUCUUAUAC
rnacentral:rRNA from 1 species